rnacentral:misc_RNA from 1 species
GUUUGCUGAAGCCAAAAGUAUAUUGCAUACAGUUGCUUCUGAUGAUAGUUUAAGGAAACCAAUUUCAGAAGUAGCUUCAUUUUUGGGUGAGAAUCAUGUAGAACAUAAAGUUAUGGGGAAGAUGUUUGACAUGUUGUUUAGGGUAUAUGUUGAUAGUAUGAGGUUUAAGGAUGCUCUUGAGGUUUUUGAGUAUAUGAAGAAUGGUGGGUUCGAGAUAGAUGAUAGAUCUUGUAUGGUUUACUUACUUGCUAUGAAAAGACGAAAACAGUAUGACUCACUGGUUGAGU